UUUGUCUUGUAAAUGGAAUGAUGGGAAUUUAAACCUCUUCCAGAGUAUCAAUUGGAGGGCAAGUCUGGUGCCAGCAGCCGCGGUAAUUCCAGCUCCAAUAGCGUAUAUUAAAAUUGUUGCAGUUAAAAAGCUCGUAGUUGAAUUUCUGCUGCAUUGCUUUUGCUCCUUUACGAGUCUUUGCAUUGUGGCUUAUUUCGGACUUUGUUUUACAAUGUCCGGAUGUUUACUUUGAGAAAAUUAGAGUGCUCAAAGCAGGCUUUCGCCUUGAAUAGUUUAGCAUGGAAUAAUAAAGUAGGACUUUGGUUCUAUUUUGUUGGUUUUAGGUACCAAAGUAAUGGUUAAUAGGAACAGUUGGGGGCAUUCGUAUUUAACUGUCAGAGGUGAAAUUCUUAGAUUUGUUAAAGACGAACUACUGCGAAAGCAUUUGCCAAGGAUGUUUUCAUUAAUCAAGAACGAAAGUUAGGGGAUCGAAGACGAUCAGAUACCGUCGUAGUCCUACCAAUAAACUA
rnacentral:rRNA from 1 species